rnacentral:lncRNA from 1 species
UAACUCUACAACUUUCAAACAUUGCAUCUCUUCAACUUCUUCAUUUGAUUAAAUUCUGACUUCUUAAUUCGUAUCAUUCUCCUCUUCUUAAAAAAGAUUUUUCCUCAAAUCUUUUUCAAAUGUAGCUUCCGGUAAUCAUCUUAGAAAACAUAUUUUUAGAUAAGACGUAAAUAUAAACAAUGAAAAAGACCAAAGUAUAAAACUAAGACCGGAAGUGAUACUUUUUUUUCGAUUUUAUAUAAGUGGACAAAAUGUGAGAAUAUAACUAGAAAAAAAAUGAAAAUCAAGAAAAUAAGAGAACACAUUGCAAUAAUGAAAAGAUAUAUCCGAGUUGAGCCAAAAGCUCUGAUACCAAAUGAUAUGAAACUCAUGAGCAUUGGAUCUAAGAACCAUGUUAAACAAUAAGACUCAAUGAACACAACUCCAACAGCCACAAAACCAAUUUGAUUUCAAUGCCUAAGAUAGGCUAGAUACACAUUGCUUAAAUGAUCUAGCAAAUCGAGGAUCUAACAAAGUUAGAAACUUCCAUCAACCCUCAAUCUUCAAAGAACUCCAUAAGUAAGGUAGAUCAAUUCUCACUUGUAUGCUUCAAAUAUUCAUGCAUUCUAUCAUAAGAACACACAAGAACAAAAAUUCUACAUUAAGAACUUUCAGAUUUCAUUCAUCCCAAAUUUUUCUUUUAAAUGUGGAAAUUACAACCCUAUUUUAUACUAAUUAAAAUAUGAAAUGAAAUGUCACAACAUUUAAUUUUAUAUCAUUUCAACUACCAUAAUAAAUGAAAACCUAUAACAUUAAAUAAGUAUAUAAUUUCUUAAUAAACAUUUAAUUUUAUGACUUUUGGGUUGUCCAAAUAAGUUUUCAACUUCAAAGCAUUGCAUCUCUUCAAGUUAUUCAUUUGCUUCAAUUAUGAUUUCUUGAUUCAUUCUUCAAUUUGAAUCAUUCUCCUCUUCUUCAAGAAGAUUUGUCCUCAAAUUUAAAGGAUCUCUUCAAAAUGUAGCAUAUGGUAGUCAUCUUAUUUACACUUAAAUUCACGAACAAAGUUCAACAUGAAAUCUCUUAAAUCACUACACUUUUGUUUAUACAUUUUCAAAAUGACGACAUUUAACACUGAAGAAAAUUAUUAGAAUACCUUGAAGCAAACAAAUUUGUAGAUAAGACUAAUACGAAUCAAUCAACCAGAAAAUUUAAUCAAAUGAAGAAGUUGAAGAGAUGCAAUGCUUGGAAAUUAAAGAGUUAUUUUGGCAACCCAAAAGUCAUAAUAUUAAAUGUUUAAGAAAUCAAGUAUUUAUGUGCUUUCAUUUAUUAUGGUAGUUGAAAGGACAUAAAAUUAAAUGUUGUGACAUGUCAUUUCAUAUUUUAAUUAGAAUAUAUAGGGUUGUAAUUUUCACAUUUAAAAAAGAAGAAUUUAGAUGAAUGAAAUCUGAAAAUUCUAGAAUGUAGAAUUUUGUUCUUGUGUGUUCUUGUGAUAGAAUGCACGAAUAUUUGGAGUACUCAAGUGAGGAUUGAUCUGUCUUGCUUGUGCAGUGCUUUGAAAAUCGAUGGUUGAUGGGAGUUUCUAACUUUGUCUGAUUCUUGGUUUCUUAGAUCAUCCAAGCAAUCUGUAUCUAGCCUAUCUUAGGGGUUGAAAUCAAAUUGGUUUUGUUGCUGCUGGGGUUGUGUUAUUUGAGUCUUGUUGUUUAACAUGGUUCUUAGAUCCAAAGCUCAUGGAUUUCAUAUCAUUUGGUAUUAGAGCUUUUCGCUCUAAAUCGAGUAUACCUUUCCAUUUCAUUGUGUUCUCUUAAUUUCUAUAUUUUUCUAAUUAUUUUAUCACAUUUUGUCCGCCAUAUAAGAUCUGAAGAAAAAAAAAGUGUUAGUUUCAUUCCUAGUAUUACAAUUUCGUCUUCUUCAAUGUUUUAGAUCUAGGUCUUAUCUAAAAGUUUAUUUUCCUCAAGGUCUUCUAAUUCAAUUUCCUCCGAUGUAAAAUGUGAUCAUUUUAAAAAUUCGUAAAAAGAAAAAUGUUGUGAUUUGUGAGAUUGCAUGUUGAACUUUGUUGUUCAUGAAUUCAAGUGCGAAAAAGAUGACUACCAGAACCUACACUUGAAAUAGAUCCUUUAGAUUUGAGGACAAAUCUUCUUCAAGAAGAGGAGAUUUACCUUUUAAAAAAAAUGAUACGAACAAGCAACCAAAAUUUAAGCAAAUGAAGAAGUUGAAGAGAUGCAAUUCUUGAAUGUUGAGGAGUUAUUUUGACAAACCAAAAGCCAUAAUAUUAAAUAUUUAAGGAAUUAUGUAUUUAUGUGCUUUAAUUUAUUAUGGUAGUUGAAAGGACAAAAUUAAAUGUUGUGAUGUUUCAUUUCGUAUUUUAAUUAGUAUAUAUAGGGUUGUAAUUUUCACAUUUAAAAAGGAAGAAUUUGGAUAAAUGAAAUCUAAAAAUUCUAGAAUGUAGAAUUUUGUUCUUGUGUGUUCUUGUGAUAGAAUGCACGAAUAUUUGAAGCAUUCAAGUGAAGAUUGAUCUGUUUUGCUUGAAGUCUACAACAACUAAUAAGAAUAAAAUUCUAGAAUUUUCAAAUGGAGGUUUUUAAAAAUUGAAGAAUUGAUAAACUAUUUACAGUACAUAGCAAAAUUUUAAUCCAAACCCAAAAUGGAUAACUAAAAUUUUAACCCAAGCCCAAAAUGUCAAUGUUUUUUUGCUAUAAGAUGUAAAUACUUUCUAUGAAACUGUCAAUGUAAAAUUUCCAUUUUCAAAUUUCAUUAAUCCAAAUUCUUCUUUUUUAAAUGUGAAAAUUACAACCCUAUUUAUACUAAUUAAAUUAUGAAAUUAAAGGUCAAAACAUUUAAUUUUAUGCCCUUUCAACUACAGUAAUAAAUGAAAACACUAAAUACAUAAUUUCUUUUAAUUUUAUGACUUUUGAGAUGUCCAAAUAACUCUUCAACUUCCAAGCAUUGCAUCUCUUAAACUUCUUUAUUUGCUUCAAUUAUGAUUUCUUAAUUCGUAUCUUAAUCCUCAAUCCAAAGAUCCAAGCUAUUAGCGUAGCAAGAACCUUUGAAAUAAGAAACUAACACCUUCUUAUACUAAUUUAGAUCAAUCAAGAGAAAUUUAGGAUUAGAUUACCUCUUAGAUUAAAGAUCUAGAAGCAAGAUUUGGAAAUAUUCUUCUAAAUUGAGUCACUCCACAACCAAACUUGGUCAAGGUUAGAUUGAAUGGAUGACAUGCAUUCUUUCACAAAAAUUGCAAAUUAAGGGAAAACUCUCAAAAUGAGAUUUCAAAUUGCAUUCA